GACGAACCGAGCGAACGUUGUUCGGAAUCACUGGGCUUAAAGGGCGCGUAGGCGGGUGCUCAAGUCUGUGGUGAAAUCCUCCGGCUCAACCGGAGAACGGCCAUGGAUACUGGGUGUCUCGAGGGUGGUAGGGGUAUGCGGAACUAUCGGUGGAGCGGUGAAAUGCGUUGAUAUCGAUAGGAACUCCGGUGGCGAAGGCGGCAUACUGGACCGGCAUUGACGCUGAGGAGCGAAAGCUAGGGGAGCAAACGGG
rnacentral:rRNA from 1 species